AUUGAACGCUGGCGGCAUGCUUUACACAUGCAAGUCGAACGGCAGCGGGGGCUUCGGCCUGCCGGCGAGUGGCGAACGGGUGAGUAAUGCAUCGGAACGUGCCCAGUCAUGGGGGAUAACUACGCGAAAGCGUAGCUAAUACCGCAUACGCCCUGAGGGGGAAAGCGGGGGAUCGCAAGACCUCGCGUGAUUGGAGCGGCCGAUGUCGGAUUAGCUGGUUGGUGGGGUAAAGGCCUACCAAGGCGACGAUCCGUAGCGGGUCUGAGAGGAUGAUCCGCACACUGGGACUGAGACACGGCCCAGACUCCUACGGGAGACAGCAGUGGGGAAUUUUGGACAAUGGGGGGCAACCCUGAUCCAGCCAUGCCGCGUGAGUGAAGAAGGCCUCGGUGUAAGAC
rnacentral:rRNA from 1 species